rnacentral:tRNA from 1 species
AGCAGCGUGGUGUAGUGGUUUGAGCAUUGGACUAUGACUCUGGACACCAGGGUUCGAAUCCCAGCUUGACCA